GACCUGGUACGGUGCUCCGCCUUCACGGUGUGUACUGGUGGACCGGGUUCUACCUCUUGGUGAGCCGGCAUGCCCUUCACUGGGUGUGUCGGGGAACCAGGACUUUUACCUUGAGAAAAUUAGAGUGUUCAAAGCAGGCCUACGCCCGAAUUCAUUAGCAUGGCAUAAUAAAAUAGGACGUGCGGUUCUAUUUUGUUGGUUUCUAGAGUCGCCGUA
rnacentral:rRNA from 1 species